rfam:Ailuropoda melanoleuca scaffold243_224, whole genome shotgun sequence.
GCCUGGCUGGCUCAGUCAGUAGAGCAUGUGACUCUUAACUUUAGGGUCGUGAGUUCAAUCCCCAUGUUGGGUA